GAGGGUAUAGCUCAGUGGUAGAGUGCCUGACACACAAGGUCCUGGGUUCAACCCCCAGUAUCUCCA
rnacentral:tRNA from 1 species